CCUACGGGAGGCUGCAGUCAAGAAUAUUCCUCAAUGGCCGAAAGGCUGAAGGAGCGACGCCGCGUGUAUGAAGAAGCCCCUCGGGGUGUAAAGUACUUUUAUUAGGGAAGAAUUAUGACGGUACCUAAUGAAUAAGGAGCUGCUAAUCUCGUGCCAGCAGCAGCGGUAAUACGAGAGCUCCAAGCAUUAUCCGGAUUUAUUGGGCGUAAAGGGUACGUAGGUGGNUUGUCACAUCUCCCGUUAAAUCCUAGGGCUCAACCCUAGGGCUGCGGGAGAGAUGGAUAGACUAGAGGUCGGGAGAGGUAAGCGGAAUUGCUGGUGUAGGGGUUAAAUCCGUUAAUAUCAGCAGGAACACCAAAUGCGAAAGCAGCUUACUGGAACGGUCCUGACACUAAAGUACGAAAGCGUGGGUAGCGAAUAGGAUUAGAUACCCUUGUANUC
rnacentral:rRNA from 1 species